CCUACGGGGGGCAGCAGUGAGGAAUAUUGGUCAAUGGGCGCGAGCCUGAACCAGCCAAGUAGCGUGAAGGAUGACUGCCCUACGGGUUGUAAACUUCUUUUAUAGAGGAAUAAAGUGCGGCACGUGUGCCUUUUUGUAUGUACUUUAUGAAUAAGGAUCGGCUAACUCCGUGCCAGCAGCCGCGGUAAUACGGAGGAUGCGAGCGUUAUCCGGAUUUAUUGGGUUUAAAGGGUGCGUAGGUGGGUGGGUAAGGCAGUUGUGAAAGUUUGCGGCUCAACCGUAAAAUUGCAAUUGAUACUGGGAGUCUUGAGUACAGGUGAGGUAGGAGGAAUGCGUGGUGUAGCGGUGAAAUGCAUAGAUAUCACGAAGAACUCCGAUUGCGAAGGCAGCUUACUAAACUGCCACUGACAUUCAUGCUCGAAAGUGUGGGUAUCAAACAGGAUUAGAUACCCCUGUAGUC
rnacentral:rRNA from 1 species